AAGUAUAAUAGGUUUGCUUCAGCAGUAUGAUGCCGUCGCUUGUUUUAGGUAAUAAGAUGCGAGUAUGAGGGAAAAAAAGAAAGAAAGAAAAAUGAUAAAACAGAUCAGGAAAUCUCUCUCGUUCUCUUCCUCUCGUCACAGGGCAGACACACAGAGAACCUCAUUCCAUUGUCAUCUUCCUCCGUCUUCCUCUUAGCCUCUCUCCGUCUCUCCUCUGGGUCCUCUCUCUCUCCGGCACGGCCUUUUCUCUCUUCGACGAUGACGGACUGACGGUGGUAACUGUUUGCAGUGUCCUUAAGAGUCAAGGCUCAAGCAGAUUUCUGGGUUCUUGAAGGCUUACUGGAAGGCUUGAAGGCUGGGUUCAAUCGAUACUUCGAUUUCAGUUUUUGAUUUCAGAUUCUUGAAGGCUUGAAGGCUGGGUUCGAUUUCGGAUUUCUGGUUACUGAUAUGAUCACCAAUUAUUGAAUCAGUCUCAUCGUCAUAGCCAUGGUGGAGAAUUUCUUGACUGGAGGAGAAUUUCUUGGGGAAUUCAUGAAUCUGGAGGAGAAUUUCUUCCAGUAUUUCCAGGAAGACGAAGAGCACACGACCUUCCCCAAGCUCCCUGUCCCUACUACUUCAACUCCAUUUGACGAUUUCACCCUUCAUCCGGUGGAGCAGCACAGAGAGACAUUGGAGGAGACCACCCAAAAUGGGUUCAGGCCUUGGAAGUAGAAAAGUCCAUUGAGUCCAAUUCCCAAGAGAAAAAAUGCUGGGGAUCCACUGAGGAAUGGAGGGUAGGUAAAUUUUCUAAAAUGUUCUGUAAGUUAGCUUCAGUGCGUUAAUGGGUGAAGUAUCUAAUGUUGAUCUCUUGUUGAUUGAUUGACUAGCUAUAAGCGUAAGAUCACGAAGUCCAACUAUCAUGAAAAAUCUUCUGUCAGAAACCAACUGCAACAUAUCCUGGAAAAUCUAGGACCUGAAUGUCCCUUCUUUUUGAAGUCUAUGAUACAUUGUAAUGCCCUUACUUUAUUUUUCAGGGGUUGGGUGAGUGGGAUGGAAGAGGUUGGCAACUAGUGAGCAUGAGCCACUGUAGGAGUCUUCUAGAUCUUUACAGACAUGAACACAUGCUCAACUUAAGUUGCUAGUAGCUGUUGGCAUGUUUAAAUGUUAAAGUUUUUAACAGGUUGAGGACUAGCAAAAGAAAGAUCAAAAGGCCAAUAAAGUACAUUAACUACCGGGAUUAUACACGUGGAGAUAUGUAGGAUGCUAUUGAUAGCGUAUCAAAGGCUUCUCAAAGUAAGAUAUCAAAGGCAUUUUUGCAGCAGCCCCCUAUUCAGGAACUAAUUGGAAGGGAUCUUCAUGAUAUAUAAUGAAUGGAAAUUCAGACAUAUUUCGAGGAGGCUUGCAACAACACUAGAGUAAUUGGUACAUGAAGUAGAUCGAGGAAGAUCCCUGCAAAGUUCAUCUUGAAGUAGCUAGAGGAAAAUAACUAACUUGUAAAGCUUAAUUAUCGAUCUUGUAAAUUUUGGUAGAAGCUUCAUUCAUUUUGUAACAUUUAUGGGGAAAAUCAAAGUGUAACAUUUCCUUUUAUAUAAGCUUCAUUCCUUUUUGUA